CUGUCAACUGCUCAGAAGUUUCUUGGGAGUCAGUUUCUGGGAUCUGGGAGAGUAGCUGCUUCCUCUCUUCUCUGCUUUCCUCUGACAGGGUUAGCAGAACGUUUAUUCUCCAGAUGCAGUUAAAGGCUUCAAGGACCCCAACAGGCAACUCCUGGGCACUUUCAGCAUCCUGCCAGGGGAGUCAUAGACAUCAUGAUGGAAGGGGCUUCUCUUCUGUGCUGUGGCCCAUUUCAUCAAGUGAAAAAGAGGCUCCAAAACAGGACCAUGACUGAUUUUGGGGACAAGUGGUGUUUCCUUUGAUCUAUCUGGUGUAAGGACAAGAUGUGUAAAGAUAAAGCAAGAUCCAGCAAGGAAACAGUGGACUUUGAAAGAAGAAGGACCAGGCUGGCCAUAUACUGCUUCCCUGCCCUGAGGGAAAUCCAAUUAUCCACUUCAAAAUGAAAUAUGGCACCAUUGAAUAGACUAGUUCAGAAAUAAGAAUGGUCCUUAUACCAACUUUAGUAAUUAAGGAGAUAAUGACAUGCUGGCAUUUUAGGAGGACCUCCCCUCUACUGCAGCCAGCCCCAAGACGGUCCCACACACACACACCCUUCUGCAGCCAGAACCAGGGCAAUACCACACCCCUUCUGCAGCUGUACCCAUUUCAGUCCUGACCACCCUUCUGCAGCCAACCCCGGGACUGUCCCACACCCCCCUUCUGCAGCCAGCCCCGGGACUGUCCCGCACCCCCCUUCUGCAGCCGGCCCCGGGACUGUCCCGCACCCCCCUUCUGCAGCCGGCCCCGGGACUGUCCCGCACCCCCCUUCUGCAGCCGGCCCCGGGACUGUCCCGCACCCCCCUUCUGCAGCCGGCCCCGGGACUGUCCCGCACCCCCCUUCUGCAGCCGGCCCCGGGACUGUCCCGCACCCCCCUUCUGCAGCCGGCCCCGGGACUGUC